CAGUCGCCGCGGGAAUACGGAGGGAGCUAGCGUUGUUCGGAAUUACUGGGCGUAAAGCGCACGUAGGCGGCUUUGUAAGUUAGAGGUGAAAGCCUGGAGCUCAACUCCAGAAUUGCCUUUAAGACUGCAUCGCUUGAAUCCAGGAGAGGUGAGUGGAAUUCCGAGUGUAGAGGUGAAAUUCGUAGAUAUUCGGAAGAACACCAGUGGCGAAGGCGGCUCACUGGACUGGUAUUGACGCUGAGGUGCGAAAGCGUGGGGAGCAAACAGGAUUAGAUACCCCAGUAGUCCCUGUCUCUUAUAC
rnacentral:rRNA from 1 species